rnacentral:tRNA from 1 species
UCCCUGGUGGUCCAGUGGUUAAGACUCUGGGCUUCCACUGCAGGGCACAUGGGUUCCAUCCCUAAUCAGGGAA